GGCAGCGGGACCGUUUUGCUUGGAUCUCUUGGGCAGCCACGUGGCCAUACGUUGAGCCCACCGAGAUGCCUAGAGCCAGCCAGGAGUGACUUACAGCUGAAAACAGACUUUGAAUGGCUUCUGCUCUGAAGAGGCCCCUCAGUACAAACAGUGAGAGUUUCUGGGAAACAUACAUAAGGCUCAGACUGUCGGGAAAGG
ensembl:misc_RNA